AUAAACGCUGGCGGCGCACAUAAGACAUGCAAGUUGAACGGACUUAAUCGAAAUAUUUAUAUUUUGAAGCGGUUAGUGGCGGACUGGUGAGUAACGCGUAAGGAACCUGCCUAUUAGAGGGGAAUAACAGUGAGAAAUCAUUGCUAAUACCGCAUAUGCCAUAGCUAUCACAUGAUAACAGUGGGAAAGGAGCAAUCCGCUAAUAGAUGGCCUUGCGUCUGAUUAGAUAGUUGGUGGGGUAACGGCCUACCAAGUCGACGAUCAGUAGCCGGACUGAGAGGUUGAACGGCCACAUUGGGACUGAGAUACGGCCCAGACUCCUACGGGAGGCAGCAGUCGGGAAUAUUGCGCAAUGGAGGAAACUCUGACGCAGUGACGCCGCGUAUAGGAAGAAGGUUUUCGGAUUGUAAACUAUUGUCGUUAGGGAAGAGAAAGGACAGUACCUAAGGAGGAAGCUCCGGCUAACUACGUG
rnacentral:rRNA from 1 species